rnacentral:rRNA from 1 species
AUUGAACGCUGGCGGCAGGCCUAACACAUGCAAGUCGAGCGAGGGGAAGACGGGAGUGUAAUGUCUGGGGCUCUGCGCGAGAGAGGGGGAUAACUACUGAAAAGGGUGCUUAAUACCGCACACUAUCGGAUGAACCCAUCGGGGAUUAGCUAGGAGGUGGGGUAAAGGCUCACAUAGGCGACGAACUCGAGCUGGUCCGAGAGGAUGACCAGCCACACGUGUACUGAGACACGGCCCAGACUCCUACGGGAGGCAGCAGUGGGGAAUAUUGCACAAUUGGCGCAAGCCUGAUGCAGCCAUGCCGCGUGUAUGAAGAAGGCCUUAGGGUUGUAAAGUACUUUCAGCUGGGAGGCGUUACCCGCAGAAGAAGCACCGGCUAACUCCGUGCCAGCAGCCGCGGUAAUAC